rnacentral:rRNA from 1 species
UGGUCUAUUUACUACAUGGAAAUGUAGUAUUCUAGAGCUAAACACGCAACUAUGCCCCGACCGCGAGGGAACGGGUGCAUUUAUUAGAACAGAACCAACCGGUUGUGGUUUCGGCCGCUUCCGUUUUCUAUGUGAUGACUCUGGAUAACUCUACCGAUCGCAGUCGGCCUUGUGUCGGCGACGGAUCUUUCAAAUGUCUGUCUUAUCAAUUUUCGAUGGUAGGUGACCUGCCUACCAUGGUGAUAACGGGUAACGGGGAAUCAGGGUUCGAUUCCGGAGAAGGAGCCUGAGAGACGGCUACUACUUCCAAGGAAGGCAGCAGGCGCGUAACUUACCCACUCCCGGAACGGGGAGGUAGUGACGAUAAAUACGGAUACGGGACUCAAAAGAGGCUCCGUAAUUCGAAUGAGUACAAUUUAAAUCCUUUAACGAGGAUCAACUGGAGGGCAAGUCUGGUGCCAGCAGCCGCGGUAACUCCAGCUCCAGUGGCAUAUAUUAAAGUUGUUGCAGUUAAAAAGCUCGUAGUUGGAUCUGGGCUGGGCGGCUGUGCGCCGUGCUCGCAUUUCCGGUCUGGUCAUUCUAGGUCGGGAUAGUGAGUCGGUGCCGCGGUCGUUCGGUCU